rnacentral:rRNA from 1 species
UACGUAGGGUGCAAGCGUUACUCGGAAUUACUGGGCGUAAAGCGUGCGCAGGCGGUCUUGCAAGACAGAUGUGAAAUCCCCGGGCUCAACCUGGGAACUGCAUUUGUGACUGCAAGGCUGGAGUGCGGCAGAGGGGGAUGGAAUUCCGCGUGUAGCAGUGAAAUGCGUAGAUAUGCGGAGGAACACCGAUGGCGAAGGCAAUCCCCUGGGCCUGCACUGACGCUCAUGCACGAAAGCGUGGGGAGCAAACAGG